UACGUAGGGUGCAAGCGUUGUCCGGAAUUAUUGGGCGUAAAGAGCUCGUAGGCGGUUUGUCGCGUCGAAUGUGAAAACCCGGGGCUCAACUCCGGGCCUGCAUUCGAUACGGGCAGACUGGAGUACUGCAGGGGAGACUGGAAUUCCUGGUGUAGCGGUGGAAUGCGCAGAUAUCAGGAGGAACACCGGUGGCGAAGGCGGGUCUCUGGGCAGUAACUGACGCUGAGGAGCGAAAGCGUGGGGAGCGAACAGG
rnacentral:rRNA from 1 species